AUUGAACGCUGGCGGCAUGCCUUACACAUGCAAGUCGAACGGUAGCGGGCCUUCGGGUGCCGACGAGUGGCGAACGGGUGAGUAAUGUAUCGGAACGUACCUUUCAGUGGGGGAUAAAGUAGCGAAAGUUGCGCUAAUACCGCAUAUUCUGUGAGCAGGAAAGCAGGAGAUCGCAAGACCUUGCGCUGAUUGAGAGGCCGAUAUCAGAUUAGCUAGUUGGUGAGGUAAAGGCUCACCAAGGCGACGAUCUGUAGCGGGUCUGAGAGGAUGAUCAGCCACACUGGAACUGAGACACGGCCCAGACUCCUACGGGAGGCAGCAGUGGGGAAUUUUGGACAAUGGGGGCAACCCUGAUCCAGCCAUGCCGCGUGAGUGAAGAAGGCCUUCGGGUUGUAAAGCUCUUUCGGCCGGGAAGAAAUCGUAUCAGCUAAUACCUGGUGCGGAUGACGGUACCGGCAUAAGAAGCACCGGCUAACUACGUGCCAGCCGCCGCAGUAAUAC
rnacentral:rRNA from 1 species